rnacentral:snRNA from 1 species
GGAAGUGAGGGCUAUCUGGCUGUGACAUCUGUCACCUCAUUGAUCUCCAGGGUUAAUUCAGCUGAUCUGGCUGGCUAGGCGGGUGUCUCCUUCCUCCCUCACCGCUCCAUGUGCGCCCCUCCCAAAGUGCGCGCUCGGUCGAAGAGGACGACCAUCCCGGCUAGAGGAGGACCGGUCUUCAGUCAAGGGUUUACAAGUAGCUGCGCUCCCCUGCUAGAACCUCCAAAACAUUUUAUUGUUUCAUAGUAACAUUUCUAUUGUUUCAUUAAUGCCUACAUCUUUCUUGAUGAUUAGCUAUAG